ACGGAGUUAAAAAUGCACUUUAAUAAUUCUUAUUUCCAAAUGUGCAUCUGUGGAUUUUAUUUAUCAUUUAAUGAUUUUAUUGAAUAUUUGUGAAUUUUAUCUCAUUGAGUUAUUUUUAUUUAUAUUUAUUUUUGCUAUUUUUUUUCUCCUGUGGAAAUGUCCUUAGCUGCACACUACCCCUUUUGUACCUCCUAAGCUUCCGUAGUGCUUGUCUCCCUCAGUUGCGUCUUGCACCGCUGAGGGUAAGUUGUGUGGAAAAGUGCUGCUGGGUUUAUGUAUUGUUUUCUUUGGAAAUUGAACCAUUUGCGUUAAAACUUUAAGCACAAAUUGUGCCAUGUAAAUAUGGUUAUGUCACGUAGCAGUUUUGUAUUAGUGUGACCGUUAAAAUACGUUUUUAUCAGUGUUUUCAUUUUAACUUUCUGGCGCCAGUUUUACCACGGCAGGCGGGCCGUGUCAUGUUACCUAUGUAACUUGUCGGAGUUUUCAGCGUCUUGUCACUUGAGUAAACGCUGUAUUUUUGUAUGUUUAGGAAGCAGAGGUAAUGUAAGAGGAGGCCAGGGGCAAUUGAUGUGUGCAUUGUGUUCUGCAGAUGUGCGAGCCAAUAAAUCGUGGAAAAGAAGUGA